UACGGAGGGGGCUAGCGUUGUUCGGAAUUACUGGGCGUAAAGCGUGCGCAGGCGGUCUGUUAAGACAGAUGUGAAAUCCCCGGGCUUAACCUGGGAACUGCAUUUGUGACUGGCAGGCUAGAGUAUGGCAGAGGGGGGUAGAAUUCCACGUGUAGCAGUGAAAUGCGUAGAGAUGUGGAGGAAUACCGAUGGCGAAGGCAAUCCCCUGGGCCUGCACUGACGCUCAUGCACGAAAGCGUGGGGAGCAAACAGG
rnacentral:rRNA from 1 species